rnacentral:rRNA from 1 species
UUAUACUGUCUCCUUUUUCUAAUCAGUGAAACUAAUCUCCCCGUGAAGAAGCGAGGAUACUAAUAUAAGACGAGAAGACCCCAUGGAGCUUAAAACCCAACUACACCCCUAAUUUUUAUAACCUCACAACCCCUUGGGCCCUGUAUAGUCGGUUUUAGGUUGGGGCGACCACGGAGUAUAACAAAACCUCCACAAUGAACGGGACCACUCCCUUAUCUAAGAGCUACCCCUCUAAGAAUUAAAACAUUAACAUAAAAUGAUCCAUUUUUGAUCAAUGAACCAAGUUACCCUGGGGAUAACAGCGCAAUCCAUUUCAAGAGCCCAUAUCGACAAAUGGGUUUACGACCUCGAUGUUGGAUCAGGAUAUCCUAGUGGUGCAGCAGCUACUAAUGGUUCGUUUGUUCAACGAUUAAAAUCCU